AUCCAUCUGACGAGUCCCAAAUGAGACGAAACGCGCAUCCUGGAU
rnacentral:hammerhead_ribozyme from 1 species